UCCUACGGGAGGCAGCAGUGGGGWAUCUUAGACAAUGGGCGCAAGCGUGAUCUAGCCAUGCCGCGUGAGUGAUGAAGGCCUUAGGAUCGUAAAGCUCUUUCGCCAGGGAUGAUAAUGACAGUAYCUGGUAAAGAAACCCCGGCUAACUCCGUSCCMGCAGCCGCGGUAAUACGGAGGGGGUKAGCGUUGUUSGGAAUUUCUGGGYGUAAAGCGCACGUAGGCGGAUCAGAAAGUAUGGGGUGAAAUCCCAGGGCUCAACCUGGGAACCGCCUGAAAAACUCCUGGUCUAGAGUUSGAGAGAGGUGAGUGGAAUUCCAAGUGUAGAGGUGAAAUUYGUAGAUAUUGGGAGGAACCCCAGUGGAGAAGGCGGCUCASUGGCUYGAUASUSACKCUGAGGUGMGAAAGAGUGGGGAGCAAACAGGAUUAGAUCCCCUGGUUGUCCACMCYGUWCACKAUGAAUGCCAGUCGUCGGGCAGUAUACUGUUCGGUGACACACCUAACGGAUUAAG
rnacentral:rRNA from 1 species